UACGUAAAAGACAAGUGUUAUUCAUCUUUAACAGGUUUAAAGGGUACCUAGACAGAAAAAUCAAGCCAUAAUAGGAACUAAUUUUCUAGAGUUUUAUGUGUGAAGAAUUGAAUUACCUGAGAAGCAAUAAUAUGCAAUGAUACAGGUAAGACGGGUAGCAGCGAAGGCAAUCUUCUAUGUAAAAACUGACGUUGAGGGACGAAGCCUUGGGGAGCGAUAAGG
rnacentral:rRNA from 1 species